rnacentral:rRNA from 1 species
AAUCAACGUUGGCGGCGCGCUUAACACAUGCAAGUCGAACGAGAAAGGGGAGCAAUCCCUGAGUAAAGUGGCAUCCGGGUGAGUAACACGUGGAUUAUCUACCCUUUGGUGGGGAAUAACUUUGGGAAACCGAAGCUAAUACCGCAUAAGCCCGAGAGGGGAAAGGUGAAAAUCGCCGAAGGAAGAGUCCGCGGCCGAUUAGCUAGUUGGUAGGGUAAUGGCCUACCAAGGCAAAGAUCGGUAGCCGGCCUGAGAGGGCACACGGCCACACUGGCACUGAAACACGGGCCAGACUCCUACGGGAGGCAGCAGUGGGGAAUCUUGCACAAUGGGGGAAACCCUGAUGCAGCGACGCCGCGUGAGCGAUGAAGCCCUUCGGGGUGUAAAGCUCUUUCGACAGGGACGAUUAUGACGGUACCUGGAGAAGAAGCUGCGGCUAACUAC